AUGGCUUGAACAUGCUGCUGACUUCUCAGGGGAUCAGUUGAGGACACUGCUUCUCAGAACUGGGUAGCUCUGAAAUUCAUCCAGCAUCUCUGGGAAAGAAAUGUAUGCCAUGGCCUUUCAAAGGUAAUCAAGAAUGGCCUCUGAAAGACUCAGCCAGCUCUCUCACCUGUCACAGAUGCAUCCAUCAGGUCCCAUGGAUCUGUGUACGUUCAGUUUUUUAAAGCAUUCCUUAACUUGAUUGUCCUUCACUGACAGCAAGUCUUCCUUGCUCCAGAUUUUCACACUGGUCUUGAGAACAUGAGAUUCCUGAAGAGUGCUCUUACCUGUAAAGACUAGGGUGAAGAAACCAUUGAGCACUCCAGCUUUCUCCUUGUUUGGUGUCACCAGGUCCCCUACACCAUUCAGCACUGAGCCUACCUUUUCCCUAGUCUUCUUUUGCUGUUAAUACUCCUUCAGAAGCACUUCUUGCUGCCCAAUACAUCUCUCACCAGAUCCAACUGUUGAUUGUCUUUGGCUUACUCAAUCCAUUUAAUGAAAUAUUUGCCACCACAGUGGAAGGAAUUUCCUUCAUCCUUGCACUGAGACCAGUCAGAUUUAUGGGUUUAAAAAUGCUAAUAAGUUAUGCCUGUAGUACUGAGUAUUAUUUUAAAAGUUCUCCAAACCCUCUAAUGACAGUACUAUCAUUAAUUGAAUUUUCCCAUUAUAAUUUAUUUUCCCAACACAUCUCUCAGAAAUCUGAUUUUCCAUACCUCACACCUGAACUCAGUACCCUUUUGAAUGCUGUAAGUGUGAUCUCUUGCUGCUGAGCUCUCUUUGAAGAGUUUGCUUGGGCUGGGAAAAAAUUAUCCAUCUGAGCCCAUAGGAUUUCAGACUGGCUGUUAAAGUCUAAAGCCAUUUCAGGAGGUGACUGAAAAAUUUUGAAACCCAAGGGUUUUUCUACUGACCUGAUUCUAUAAUGAGAUAGAUCACUUCACUGCCUUGCUUUCACAGCCUUUCCAAAUAAAGAAUGAAUCAAACCUGCAUCCUUCUGUAUUGCAGAGAAUUUUAGCCCUGACUUCAGCAAAAGAAGAACAGGAUCUCCCUUGUAACUAUCUUAUCUAUAUGAAGAAAUAAAUUCGGAAGUAAAA